GUGUACGGCCACACCACCCUGAACGCGCCCAAUCUCGUCUGAUCUCGGAAGCUAAGCAGGGUCGGGCCUGGUUAGUACUUGGAUGGGAGAAUCCACGAGCCCAUAUUUA
rnacentral:rRNA from 1 species